rnacentral:tRNA from 1 species
UGGGUCGUUAGCUCAGUUGGUAGAGCAGUUGACUCUUAAUCAAUUGGUCGCAGGUUCGAACCCUGCACGACCCACC